rnacentral:rRNA from 1 species
GAUGAACGCUGGCGGCGUGCCUAAUACAUGCAAGUCGAGCGAACAGACGAGGAGCUUGCUCCUCUGACGUUAGCGGCGGACGGGUGAGUAACACGUGGAUAACCUACCUAUAAGACUGGGAUAACUUCGGGAAACCGGAGCUAAUACCGGAUAAUAUAUUGAACCGCAUGGUUCAAUAGUGAAAGACGGUUUUGCUGUCACUUAUAGAUGGUUCCGCGCCGCAUUAGCUAGUUGGUAAGGUAACGGCUUACCAAGGCAACGAUGCGUAGCCGACCUGAGAGGGUGAUCGGCCACACUGGAACUGAGACACGGUCCAGACUCCUACGGGAGGCAGCAGUAGGGAAUCUUCCGCAAAGGGCGAAAGCCUGACGGAGCAACGCCGCGUGAGUGAUGAAGGUCUUCGGAUCGUAAAACUCUGUUAUUAGGGAAGAACAAAUGUGUAAGUAACUAUGCACGUCUUGACGGUACCUAAUCAGAAAGCCACGGCUAACUACGUG